GACGCUGACAAAUUGAGAACUGUGCCG
rnacentral:piRNA from 1 species